rnacentral:rRNA from 2 species
GUGACCUCAAAUCAGGUAGGACUACCCGCUGAACUUAAGCAUAUCAAUAAGCGGAGGAAAAGAAACUAACAAGGAUUCCCCUAGUAACUGCGAGUGAAGCGGGAAAAGCUCAAAUUUAAAAUCUGUCAGUCUUUGGCUGUCCGAGUUGUAAUCUAGAGAAGUGUUAUCCGCGCUGGACCGUGUACAAGUCUCCUGGAAUGGAGCGUCAUAGAGGGUGAGAAUCCCGUCUUUGACACGGACUGCCAGGGCUUUGUGAUACGCUCUCAAAGAGUCGAGUUGUUUGGGAAUGCAGCUCAAAAUGGGUGGUAAAUUCCAUCUAAAGCUAAAUAUUGGCGAGAGACCGAUAGCGAACAAGUACCGUGAGGGAAAGAUGAAAAGAACUUUGGAAAGAGAGUUAAACAGUACGUGAAAUUGCUGAAAGGGAAACGCUUGAAGUCAGUCGCGUUGUCCAGGGAUCAGCCUUGCUUUUGCUUGGUGUACUUUCUGGUUGACGGGUCAGCAUCAAUUUUGACUGUUGGAAAAAGGUCGGGGGAAUGUGGCAUCUUCGGAUGUGUUAUAGCCCUUGGUUGCAUACAAUGGUUGGGAUUGAGGAACUCAGCACGCCGCAAGGCCGGGUAACUAUACCACGUACGUGCUA